rnacentral:rRNA from 1 species
AAUGAACGUUGGCGGCGUGGAUUAGGCAUGCAAGUCGGACGUCCCCUUCGGGGGACGUGGCGCAAGGGUGAGUAAGGCGACGGCAACCAACCCCCCGGACGGCCAUAACCGCGGGAAACCGCGGCUAAUAGCCGGCGACGUGGGCGCCCGGCAUCGGGCGGCCACCAAAGGGUGCGACUCCGCCGGGGGACGGGCCGUCGUGGUAUCAGCUGGUUGGUGGGGUAGCGGCCCACCAAGGCUGCGACGCCUACCGGGCGUGCGAGCGUGGCCCGGCACACUGGGACUGAGACACUGCCCAGACACCUACGGGUGGCUGCAGUCGAGAAUCUUCGGCAAUGGGCGCAAGCCUGACCGAGCGACGCCGCGUGGGGGACGAAGGCCUUCGGGUUGUAAACCCCUGUCGAGGGUGAGCAAGGCGCCGCGCAGAGCGGUGCUUGAGCGACCCCUGGAGGAAGCACGGGCUAAGUUCGUGCCAGCCGCCGCAGUAA